rnacentral:tRNA from 1 species
GCACCCGUAGCUCAGCCGGAUAGAGCGGUGGCCUCCGGAGCCACGUCUUGCGGGGGUUCGAGUCCCUCCGGGUGCACCA